GCGUAAAGGGCUCGCAGGCGGUUUCUUAAGUCUGAUGUGAAAGCCCCCGGCUCAACCGGGGAGGGUCAUUGGAAACUGGGGAACUUGAGUGCAGAAGAGGAGAGUGGAAUUCCACGUGUAGCGGUGAAAUGCGUAGAGAUGUGGAGGAACACCAGUGGCGAAGGCGACUCUCUGGUCUGUAACUGACGCUGAGGAGCGAAAGCGUGGGGAGCGAACAGGAUUAGAUACCCUGGUAGUCCACGCCGUAAACGAUGAGUGCUAAGUGUUAGGGGGUUUCCGCCCCUUAGUGCUGCAGCUAACGCAUUAAGCACUCCGCCUGGGGAGUACGGUCGCAAGACUGAAACUCAAAGGAAUUGACGGGGGCCCGCACAAGCGGUGGAGCAUGUGGUUUAAUUCGAAGCAACGCGAAGAACCUUACCAGGUCUUGACAUCCUCUGACAAUCCUAGAGAUAGGACGUCCCCUUCGGGGGCAGAGUGACAGGUGGUGCAUGGUUGUCGUCAGCUCGUGUCGUGAGAUGUUGGGUUAAGUCCCGCAACGAGCGCAACCCUUGAUCUUAGUUGCCAGCAUUCAGUUGGGCACUCUAAGGUGACUGCCGGUGACAAACCGGAGGAAGGUGGGGAUGACGUCAAAUCAUCAUGCCCCUUAUGACCUGGGCUACACACGUGCUACAAUGGACAGAACACAGGGCAGCGAAACCGCGAGGUUAAGCCAAUCCCACAAAUCUGUUCUCAGUUCGGAUCGCAGUCUGCAACUCGACUGCGUGAAGCUGGAAUCGCUAGUAAUCGCGGAUC
rnacentral:rRNA from 1 species